UACGUAGGGGGCGAGCGUUGUCCGGAUUUACUGGGUGUAAAGGGUGCGUAGGCGGCUCUGCAAGUCAGAAGUGAAAUCUAUGGGCUUAACCCAUAAACUGCUUUUGAAACUGUGGAGCUUGAGUGAAGUAGAGGUAGGCGGAAUUCCCGGUGUAGCGGUGAAAUGCGUAGAGAUCGGGAGGAACACCAGUGGCGAAGGCGGCCUACUGGGCUUUAACUGACGCUGAGGCACGAAAGCGUGGGUAGCAAACAGG
rnacentral:rRNA from 1 species